UCUCCGCCGGGCUAAACUGACGCGUGCGCACUAGAUCGUGGCCUAGGCCCACCCAAAGCAAGGGGAGAGGAGGAAUGAAAGAGGCAUGAGUUGUUAUUAAUAUCCGAGCACACCCUUUCAAGUUCAUUUUGCUUUCUUAGCGGCUUUCGCACUCCAUCGGAACAAAUGAAACGUACUGAUUCUUCGAAUCUAGCGCGUAGUUUAUUUGCGACGUUUUAAUCCGAACUUCAGACGUCUUUGCGACAAAUAAAAAGGGACAAGGCAAAUUUAAAUGCUGAUCGGAGAUUGGUAGGAAUUGGAAACCCAUGCAGAGGGUCAUUUACUUACUGAAAUAAGCUCAGCUCGAGCGGCACUUCAGGGAUUGCAAUUCCCACCUGAUGCUAGUUAACAAAGCGAAAAAUACCAGUUGCACACCCAAUUCAUGGAGUUGGCAGAUGUUGCUGUGCGAAAAAGUGUUGCUGUUGUAUGUAAAAUGGAAGCCUGCAGUGUACUCAUACUGCAUCUGAAGCAAGGAGAAAGACGUAAAAGAAAACAUGAACAGAUCUCUGUUUCUAACCAGCCUGCUUAAACUAAAUAAGGUGACCAGAAAGAUGUGUGCUUAAGAGUUCCUGUUUGGUAAGCACUGACAAGAGGUAAAACUUUUUCAGUCCUUUCCCUCUGAAUUAUUUAUUUUAAUUAUUUGUAUCUUGCUUUACAUAGUAACAAUUACAAACAAUAUCAAAUGCAACCAAUAUUAUCUCAUAACAAAUACGGUUCUUCUGACAGAGCUAAUAAUAAGGGCUUGGGGGAAUAGGAGAGGGGAAAGAAAGGUAUGAGUCCAUCUAAGCAGGCUACUGUAAUAGUCCUUGUCUGCCUUCAUUUAAUAUGGUUGUUGUUUAGUGUUAUUUUAUAGUACAAUGUCUGUAAUUGUGAGUCACAUUCAGUAACACAUCUAGAGGAUGAAUAUAAAUUUCUCUUGCGCUUUUAUCUAGAAAGGUCCUAUCUCUCAAAACUGAAAGCUGAAACCUUUCCCAUUAUCUUAUACAAUUGAUUUGCAAUCGAUGAAACCCAUUAGAUGUCCUGGUCUAAAGAAAAUGCUUUGUUAAAUAGGCCAAAGAAAGAGCCAAACUACAUACUCUCUUUAAAGGAAACCUGAAAGCAAAUACAUUAAGGCAAGUCUAGACUUUUGUACCAUUUUUAAAGGGCUUAAAAUUAGUAAAAGAAGAAAAGUACUCACUCACAGAUUUGUUUGGCACCAGUUCAUUCUCCCUUAAAACUAGUUAGCAAAGAGAUGUUUUAUAACAAGUUUGAACAAGGUAUAAUUUAACAAAAGUACAAUACUUAACAUGAGGUUUAAUGAGUUUAAAUACUCGUUUACAUUAAUACAUAUUUCAGAAUGAAGACAUUUUCAGCUUUCAGUUUGCUCAGAGCUAAGUAAUUUUAUAUACAUUCAACCAAGUAUCUACAUUUUUAUGUUCUAUCCUUUAGCUAAACGUUAUAAUAAAUAGUAUUUGCUACAUCAUGGUGGACCUCAAUUCCUUAUAGUGGUAAAAAUUCUGAUGGCAUAUAUGCACUUUAUAUCUCUGAGAUUUUGGUCCCCAUUAAUUUGCACAUACGGCAAACACCCAUCUUUAGAGUUUUCCCCAAUUUUGACAUUAAUCACCUUUUACUGAGAACUUCUCCAGAACAACUAGUCAUAGAUUAUAUUUGUGGAAGCUGUUCCUUAGCUGAUGGUCAUUAAUAAAGGGAAUAUCAGAAUGCCUAUCAGGCAUUAUCAGUUCUCAUUAUCAGUUCUUAUUUAAGUCAUUAAUUUUAACUAUUUUUAUAUUUAGCUUUUUUACCAUUUCAUAAGCCACCCAAAGUUGCUUUAUUGGCACAAUGAGUAGCAUAUUAGGAAAAACCUAAUUUAGGAAAAACCCUUCCAUACUUCCACCUCUCACAAUACUUGACAACACAGUAUCAACAGUAGAAACCUUCAAAUUUCUGGGUUCUAUCAUAUCGCAAGAUCUCAAAUGGACAGCUAACAUCAAAAACAUCAUUAAAAAAGGACAACAAAGAAUGUUCUUUCUGCGCCAACUCAGUAAGCUCAAACUGCCCAAGGAGCUGCUGAUCCAAUUCUACAGAGGAAUUAUUGAGUCUGUCAUUUGCACCUCUAUAACUGUCUGGUUCGGUUCUGCAACCCAACAAGAAAAACACAGACUUCAGAGGAUAAUUAGAACUGCAGAAAAAAUAAUUGCUACCAACUUGCCUUCCAUUGAGGACCUGUAUACUGCACGAAUCAAGAAGAGGGCCGUGAAAAUAUUUGCAGAUCCCUCGCAUCCUGGACAUAAACUGUUUCAACUCCUACCCUCAAAACGACGCUAUAGAGCACUGCACACCAGAACAACUAGACACAAGAACAGUUUUUUCCCGAAGGCCAUCACUCUGCUAAACAAAUAAUUCCCUCAACACUGUCAGACUAUUUACUGAAUCUGCACUACUAUUAAUCGUUUCAUAGUUCCCAUCACCAAUCUCUUUCCACUUAUGACUGUAUGACUAUAACUUGUUGCUGGCAAUCCUUAUGAUUUAUAUUGAUAUAUUGAUCAUCAAUUGUGUUGUAAAUGUUGUACCUUGAUGAACGUAUCUUUUCUUUUAUGUACACUGAGAGCAUAUGCACCAAGACAAAUUCCUUGUGUGUCCAAUCACACUUGGCCAAUAAAAAAUUCUAUUCUAUUCUAUUCUAUAUACAUUUUAUAAAUAAUAGUUAAUAAAUAAUUCAGUGAAACAAUUUUGAUGAACGGUAGAAGAACUGAAUUGGAUUCUGGAGUCUUUGCAAAUAUCUAUUUUAUAAAAUAGCAAGAUAUUUUAUUAAAAAAAUAUCUAUUUUAUAAAAUAAUAAGAAAAGAAUUAUUUGGUCUUAACAAAUACAGUAGGAUAGUAUAAAUUACAGGUACUAAUCUAGUUAAUAAAAGUUGGAAAUAUUCAUAUAACCUUACAAGCAGCAUUAGUAUUCGGAGUGUUAUUGCUGUCACUAUCACCAACCUGAGUCCUGAGAUCAGCUGGGGUGACUUGCUUCCAAUUCCUCACAGUGCAAUGAUCAGGAGUAAACCGUUUCAGGAGAAGCACCCCAACAAUGGUAUUCUCUGUAAAAGAUGUGCUAAAAGUAUGUUUUUUCACCUAAGCUUUUGAAGGAAAAUUGCCAGAACCAAACUGCACAUUAAAAGAGCAUUCUUAUUGUGUAAUAAAAUUGAUAACUUUAUCUUGGUUUUUUUUAAUUUAGCUUGUUCAUCCAUCAUGUUCGAAGAGGACCUUGACAUCUAAUAGGUUGUGGGCUGUCCAUGAUGUGUCCGCAGGUGGCUGGUAAGGCCUAUAUGGGCACGAAAUGUUCUGCCACAUGUCGGGCAGACAUGUGAGCACCAUUGUUGCAGCAUUUGCAGCUCUGGCUUUGCAGCUUAACCUUUAAAAUAAGAUAGUUGUUCUGUAAUACAUUAUAGGCACCUUCAGGAUAAAAAAAAAUGAGAAUUAUGAAAUUUGGUUAUAAAAACAGGACUAUAUUAGUGGCAAGCUUUAGAAUCACAAGGUUACAGUGGGUUACAGUUGUCAAUAUAUUCCCAAAUGAGAAUAAGUAUUAGUAAGCAAAAUAUUAAAGCUACAAGCCUAAACAAUUAGAAUAGAUCCUGUCACAACAAAAAUCACUUUGAAAUUUGCAUAAAUAUGCACAAUAUCAUGUUCUAAACACCAGAGUAACUACUAUAUAAAAAUUGUUCCUAAACUGAACAUGUGCGGGUUACACUUUGAUAGCAGAUACUCUGAGCUCUUGAAUGUACUUGGUAUUUAUGAGUGAGUCACUGAAAAAUUCCAUGUAGGCUGUUCAGCCUCUUAACUAUAAUUUGAGGGGGCUGUGUGCUUCAUGAAACAUUUAAAUUUGAACAUGAGGAAUCUACUUUGCAGGUCCUAAUUUAAGAGAAAUUGGUAUAGAUGAAUCUCCACAUUCAGCAUUUGAGGAAUACUGUGACAAUAUGUGUCAGUAGACUGAUCAAUGAAUAUGUACUUUGUUUUAAGUGACUCAUAGCUAAAUAUAUGAAUUUGCUGAAAAGUGCCUCCAGUAGAUGAAAUUUCCUUCCAAAGGUAGUGUUUACUGUAAACACCAUCUUUGAUAUAGUUCAAAGAACUUGGGUCCUAAUUUGUUGUGAAUUCAGGGCGCUGGGUUGCUUUUACAUAGAAAUAUUUCCAGCUUGAACACCUCUUUCUGUUUGGUUGUGUCUGUGAGUAUGCAUGUUUCUAUGUGUAGUGGAGCUAGAAUGUAGGUAAUUUUCUUCCUUGAUUAUGUGAAAAGGCUUUUGAAAGCUGUGAAUUUGUGUAGUGAAGAACAAUUUUAUAUUUGUCAACUGCUGUUACCAUUUCAGUAAUAAAAUGAACACAGGAAAGAAUCAUAACUCUAAAUUUUAAAUCUUAAUUAUUUUGGGUGUGAUUUAAGCUGGUAGUUAUUAUCUAUUGUUAGAAGUUAAAUCCAGUCCAUGUCUUAUUUGAAGCUGAGAGAGAAAGGCAGGCAAAGGAAAAAUAAGUUAGAACCAGGCUGCUGUUAGAAAAGAGGUUUCUGUUUAUUGGCCCAGUGACAACAACACAGUUUCCUGGGGAAAGCUGGCAAAUUGGGGUUAUGAGUUAGUGGGUUUUUAUAUGGUUUGGACCUUUUGUGAUUUAUAUGUCAUCAUCUAUAUGAACAUGUAUCUUUCUGGGUUUGUUUGUGUUUUAAUUGCUGUUGUGAAAUUGGAUCCUGACCAGAGUUGAAAUCCAGCAGGUUCUGACAGGUUCUGGAGAACCAGUAACGAAAAUUUUGAGCAGUUCAGAGAACCGGUAGUGGAAAUUUUGAGUAGUUUGGAGAACCAGCAAAUACGACCUCUGGCUAGCCCCUAAGUGGGGUGGGAAUGGAGAUUUUGCAGUAUCCUUCCCCUGCCAUGCCCACCAAGCCACACCCACAGAACCAGUAGUAAAAAAAAAUUGGAUUUUACCACUGGUCCUGACUGGCUGAAGAGGUGAGGGAAGAUGCAAAUCUUAAGGUGUUUUGUUGUUUUGAUGUAAUCUUGUUCGCCUAAUCAAUUUCAUAUCCAGGUCUAUUCUGCUGUCUAUUUUGAGAUUUCUUUAGCCAAGACUGGUUUUACAAUCUAUACAUUGUUUUAUGAAUGAAAGUUAGUUUUGUUAAACUUUGCCCGCAGGCUGUUUUAGUGGAGGAAAGACUGGGGCUGCUGUCUUCCUUUGUUAAGGAGAUUUUUCUCCUCUUCUCCUUUAGGGGAAAUAUUCCAUUCUGCUUCUUUUCUUAUUAUGUGGAAUAUUUUAUUCUGGGAAGGGGGCUCUUUCUACAUUAUUAAGCCCUACAUAGCAUAAGGCCCAGUUACUUGAGAGGUUUCCUAACUUCCCACAAUAUCUGCCUCUCACUAUAUUCAUCUGUCAUUUGCAUUUAUCAUUUUUUAUUAUCUAUAUAUUUUAUGUUUUAUUGAUGCAAUUCUAAUUUCUUUGUUGUGAGUCAUCCAGAGGUGUUGAGAAUCAGGUGGCAAAGAAGUUUAAUAAAUUAUUAUUAUAUUAGAAUUAAUUAUGAGUUUAGAAAUAUUGUAAAUUCUCUCAACAAUUCUCUCUUUCUAUAUACAUUUACCCCAGCAUUAAUCCCACUGAUGUCAAGAUAGACAGCUUCUGGCUUUACUUAUUUGUUUAUUUGUUCACCAUUUAAAAGAUAUGGUCGCCCAUCUUGUACAGAACACAACUCUGGGUGGCUUCUAUACAUUUCUUUACAGACAAAUACUGUAUCACAAUAUACAUUUUACAUGUUUACUUGUGUUUUGUAUAAGUAUAUGAAAACAAAAAGAACAAAUUUUGUAUAAGUAUAUGAAAACAAAAUAAUAAAAGAACAAGUUUUAAUUUGUAAAAUUGUCAAUGUAUCCUUUAUCUUUAUAAUAUCUUAGUUACUGAGAACAGGUUUUGUGUACUUAUUCAAAAAUACUCUUUCUUUUAUCAAAUGGUGAAAUAAAUUUUGAUUACAGAAGAACGCAGCUCAUUUCAUAAAAUCUGUUGGAAGUAUUAUAUAAGGUGAUACCUUAAUUGCAGGUACUGUCCUGAUACAUUUUUUCUUUUUUUCUUUUUAAGUUUUUUUAUUAAAAUGAAAGACAAGACAUACAACAUUUAUAUACAUAUCACUGUUUAUCUGCUAUUCAAGGCAGUCCUUUCCUAUUAUUUAUACAUGUUUUAGUUCUAUCUUAUUCUACUUUUAUUUAUCUACCGUUCUUUAUUUCAUCAACAUUUUACCUUGUUGUUCAAUUUUCUUAUCUUACCUAUUUUCUAACCAUUCAUACCAUUUGCACCAGACCUUAUAAUAUUUUGUAUCCUCUUUCUCUUUGAUUCCUUUUGUAAGUUUGUCCAUCUCUGCACAUUCUAGUGUUUUUUUAAUUAAUUCUUCCUCUGUUGGUGGAUUUUCCUUCUUCCAAUUUUGGGCGUAGGCUAUACGUGCUGCUGUUAAUAUAUGGGCUAUUAAGUAUUCUGUAUUGUUUGUAUAGUUUUCUGUUGGGAUUCUUAAUAAAAAUUGUUCUGGCUCUCCCUUUAUUGGUUCCUGUAUUAUUUCCUGUAACCACUUUUUGAUUUUGGCCCAGAAUUGUUUUGCCACUGGGCAGGUCCACCAGGGAUAAUAGUAUGUUCCGUUAUUGCUCUUACAUUUCCAACACUUUGGUGAGUUAUUGGGGAACAUCUUUGCUAUUCUGGCUGGUGGGAGAUGGCAUCUAUGAAACAUUUUCAUCUGGUUUUCCUUGUAUGCUGUCGAUAUUGUCAAUUUCACGUUUGUUCUCCACAUCUUUUCCCACUUCUCUAAUUCUAUUGUAUGGUUAAAAUUUCUUGCCCAUUUAAUCAUGGUAUCUUUCACUAUUUCCUCUUCCAUUUUAUACCGUAACAAAAAAUUGUAUGUUUUACUAAUUAGUUUUUGGUCGUUCCUGUAUAUUAUUUUAUCCAAUUCAUUUUGUUCCAGUUGUAUCUGAUUAAUCUUAGAGUCUUCUAAAUAUUUUGAUCUGAUUUGGAGAUAUGUCCACCAUUCGACUUGUCUAUUCAAAUCCUGUUCCAAUUCUUGUUUCGUUUUUAAUUUUCCCAAUUCAUUUAAUAUAUCCCUGUAUCUAAUUAUUUUAGUCCCAUCUAUUAAAUUUGGGUGUGUUAGUAUACUGAUAUACUAUGUAUACUGAUACAUUUUUCUAUAACAAUUUUUCACAUACUAUAUCUAUUAAGAGUAAUCAGUUUUGGUUAACAGAGAGAAGUUGCUACAAAUAUGUUUUGUACCUGCAUUGCUCCUAAUAUUUAUUGAGGUCAUGAAAUUUGGAAAGGGAUAUUUUCUGAAUAAUUACCCUGACCAAAAUAACAUUUUGUUCUAGAGUUCAUGCAUAUAUUAUUCUAUGCCAAAAGAAUUUUCAGCUAAAGGGUUUUCUAUCUAAAGUAGAAUUAAGAUUAAAACAAAAAAUGCACUUAUGAAAAUUAGUGGAAACAAUUUAAAGGGAGGAGGAUAUGGUUAUGGUGAAAUCUAUCUGUUUACAUAAUCUAAUUAUGGUAUUGGUUAGUUUUAUUGGGAUGUGCAAAUCAAAUUAUUUGUAAAACUGAAAAAAAUUCUUAACAAUUUGCUGUUAAGAAGAUCAGCCAGCAGAGGGCCUCACUGCUUUAAAAGCAAGUUUGUUGUAAAAUUUACUUGAAGGUAUGACUGCUUAUAAUAUUGAAGGCAAACUUGACUUACUUUCACGUUCAAUGAACAUAUUGUCGAAUUAUCAUAUAAUAAAGCCAUCCCUGGUCAACUGUGAGGAAUAGCUCUAAGAGGGAUGGCAGGAAUAUGGGAAAAAUACAGAAAGGUUUCACAUUAUGUAUAUAAUCUAAUGCCAUUAUAAUAUAUUGUGAAUAAUACAAGUUGAUUGUGCAAUAAAAGUCAUAUGAAAGCACAAUUGCUGACUUGGAAGACACUUGAGUCACACAACUAAUUUAUGCAAAAGCCCAACAAUAUUCAAAAGAAUACUUGGAUAAUUUCUUGUACGUUUCCUUUUCUUGCUUUUUUGCGUUGUGUUAAAUAGAAUAGAAUAGAAUAGAAUAGAAUAGAAUAGAAUAGAAUAGAAUAGAAUAGAAUAGAAUAGAAUUUUAUUGGCCAAGUGUGAUUGGACACACAAGGAAUUUGUCUUGGUGCAUAUGCUCUCAGUGUACAUAAAAGAAAAGAUAUGUUCAUCAUCAAUAUAAAUAAAGCAUGUAAAAUAUGUACAUUAUAUGUAUAUUACACAUAUAUCUGCUUUGCUUGAAUAUCUAGUCUAGGAGACAUCUUGUGUUUCAAACUUAAACAACCACAAACAAACAAAAAAACCCAGUUGCUGGAACAAUCUAUUCUUCUCUGAUGCAAAAUAUGAAUGAAUAAGAACGAAAAACUAUUUGCCAAU